CCCACAGGCCUGCCUGCUGCUCCAGAAGACCCUGUCCAUGCGGGAGGUGAGGUCGUGCUUUGAGGACCCCGAGUGGAAGCAGCUGAUGGGCCAGGUCCUAGCAAAGGUCACCGAGAACUUGCGCGUGCUGGGGGAGGCGCAGACCAAGGCGCAGCAUCAGCAGGCACUGUCCUCCCUGGAGCUGCUCAACGUUCUCUUCAGGACCUGCAAACAUGAGGCGCCCCAAGUUGGAGAAGAAGGAUGCCAAGGAGAUCCCCAGUGCCACCCAGAGCCCCAUCAGUAAGAAGCGGAAGAAAAAGGGAUUCUUGCCAGAGACGAAGAAGCGCAAGAAACGCAAGUCAGAGGAUGGCACGCCAGCGGAGGAUGGCACACCUGCAGCCACCGGCGGGAGCCAGCCCCCCAGCAUGGGCAGGAAGAAGAGGAACAGGACAAAGGCUAAGGUCCCAGCCCAGGCAAACGGGACGCCAACCACCAAGAGUCCAGCCCCUGGCGCCCCCACCCGGAGCCCCAGCACCCCUGCCAAAUCCCCAAAACUGCAGAAGAAAAACCAGAAGCCGUCCCAGGUGAAUGGAGCUCCCGGGUCCCCCACGGAACCUGCAGGCCAAAAGCAGCAUCAGAAGGCUCUUCCCAAAAAGGGGGUCUUGGGCAAAUCACCACUGUCCGCGCUGGCACGGAAAAAGGCAAGGCUGUCUUUGGUCAUCAGGAGUCCCAGCCUGCUUCAGAGUGGGGCCAAGAAGAAAGCACAG
rnacentral:lncRNA from 1 species